UACGUAGGGUGCAAGCGUUGUCCGGAAUUAUUGGGCUUAAAGAGCUCGUAGGCGGUUUGUCGCGUCGAAUGUGAAAACCCGGGGCUCAACCCCGGGCCUGCAUUCGAUACGGGCAGACUAGAGUUCGGUAGGGGAGUCUGGAAUUCCUGGUGUAGCGGUGAAAUGCGCAGAUAUCAGGAGGAACACCGGUGGCGAAGGCGGGACUCUGGGCCGAUACUGACGCUGAGGAGCGAAAGCGUGGGGAGCAAACAGG
rnacentral:rRNA from 1 species